rnacentral:rRNA from 1 species
UUCGCAAUGCCCGAAAGGGUGACGAAGCGACGCCGCGUGCGGGAAGAAGGCCUUCGGGUUGUAAACCGCUGUCGGGAGCUAAGAAAUGCAAGGGUGUUAACAGCAUCCUUGCUUGACUAAGGCUCCGGAGGAAGCCACGGCUAACUCUGUGCCAGCAGCCGCGGUAAUACAGAGGCGGCAAGCGUUGUUCGGAAUUAUUGGGCGUAAAGAGCACGUAGGCGGCUGUGUAGGUCGGUUGUGAAAGCCUUCCGCUCAACGGGAGAACGGCAUCCGAAACUGCAUAGCUUGAGUGCGGGAGGGGAGAGUGGAACCUCUGGUGGAGCGGUGAAAUGCGUAGAUAUCAGAAGGAACACCGGCGGCGAAGGCGACUCUCUGGCCCGUAACUGACGCUGAGUGUGCGAAAGCUAGGGGAGCAAACGGGAUUUGAUACCCCGGUAGUCCUAGCCGUAAACGAUGGGCACUAAGUAGAGGGGUUUUA